rnacentral:rRNA from 1 species
UUAAGCGACUAAGCGUACACGGUGGAUGCCUAGGCAGUCAGAGGCGAUGAAGGGCGUGCUAAUCUGCGAAAAGCGUCGGUAAGCUGAUAUGAAGCGUAAUAACCGACGAUACCCGAAUGGGGAAACCCAGUGCAAUUCGUUGCACUAUUGCAUGGUGAAUACAUAGCCAUGCAAGGCGAACCGGGGGAACUGAAACAUCUAAGUACCCCGAGGAAAAGAAAUCAACCGAGAUUCCCCCAGUAGCGGCGAGCGAACGGGGAAGAGCCCAGAGUCUGAAUCAGUUGGUGUGUUAGUGGAAGCGUCUGGAAAGUCGCACGGUACAGGGUGAUAGUCCCGUACACAAAAACACACUGGCUGUGAACUCGAUGAGUAGGGCGGGACACGUGACAUCCUGUCUGAAUAUGGGGGGACCAUCCUCCAAGGCUAAAUACUCCUGACUGACCGAUAGUGAACCAGUACCGUGAGGGAAAGGCGAAAAGAACCCCGGCGAGGGGAGUGAAAUAGAACCUGAAACCGUGUACGUACAAGCAGUGGGAGCACCUUCGUGGUGUGACUGCGUACCUUUUGUAUAAUGGGUCAGCGACUUAUAUUUUGUAGCAAGGUUAACCGAAUAGGGGAGCCGUAGGGAAACCGAGUCUUAACUGGGCGUCUAGUUGCAAGGUAUAGACCCGAAACCCGGUGAUCUAGCCAUGGGCAGGUUGAAGGUUGGGUAACACUAACUGGAGGACCGAACCGACUAAUGUUGAAAAAUUAGCGGAUGACUUGUGGCUGGGGGUGAAAGGCCAAUCAAACCGGGAGAUAGCUGGUUCUCCCCGAAAGCUAUUUAGGUAGCGCCUCGUGAACUCAUCUUCGGGGGUAGAGCACUGUUUCGGCUAGGGGUCCAUCCCGGAUUACCAAACCGAUGCAAACUCCGAAUACCGAAGAAUGUUAUCACGGGAGACACACGGCGGGUGCUAACGUCCGUCGUGAAGAGGGAAACAACCCAGACCGCCAGCUAAGGUCCCAAAGUCAUGGUUAAGUGGGAAACGAUGUGGGAAGGCAUAGACAGCCAGGAUGUUGGCUUAGAAGCAGCCAUCAUUUAAAGAAAGCGUAAUAGCUCACUGGUCGAGUCGGCCUGCGCGGAAGAUGUAACGGGGCUAAACCAUGCACCGAAGCUGCGGCAGCGACGCUUAGGCGUUGUUGGGUAGGGGAGCGUUCUGUAAGCCGUUGAAGGUGGCCUGUGAGGGCUGCUGGAGGUAUCAGAAGUGCGAAUGCUGACAUAAGUAACGAUAAUGCGGGUGAAAAACCCGCACGCCGGAAGACCAAGGGUUCCUGUCCAACGUUAAUCGGGGCAGGGUGAGUCGACCCCUAAGGCGAGGCUGAAAAGCGUAGUCGAUGGGAAACAGGUUAAUAUUCCUGUACUGGGUGUGACUGCGAAGGGGGGACGGAGAAGGCUAGGCUAGCCGGGCGACGGUUGUCCCGGUUUAAGCAUGUAGGCGGAGUGACUUGGUAAAUCCGGUUGCUUAUCAACGCUGAGGUGUGAUGACGAGCCACUACGGUGGUGAAGUAGUUGAUGCCAAGCUUCCAGGAAAAGCCUCUAAGCAUCAGGUGACAUUCAAUCGUACCCCAAACCGACACAGGUGGUCAGGUAGAGAAUACUCAGGCGCUUGAGAGAACUCGGGUGAAGGAACUAGGCAAAAUGGUGCCGUAACUUCGGGAGAAGGCACGCUGGCAUUAGGUAAAGAGACUUGCUCUCGGCGCCGAAGCCAGUCGCAGAUACCAGCUGGCUGCAACUGUUUAAUAAAAACACAGCACUGUGCAAACACGAAAGUGGACGUAUACGGUGUGACGCCUGCCCGGUGCUGGAAGGUUAAUUGAUGGGGUCAGCCGCAAGGCGAAGCUCUUGAUCGAAGCCCCAGUAAACGGCGGCCGUAACUAUAACGGUCCUAAGGUAGCGAAAUUCCUUGUCGGGUAAGUUCCGACCUGCACGAAUGGCGUAAUGAUGGCCAGGCUGUCUCCACCCGAGACUCAGUGAAAUUGAACUCGCUGUGAAGAUGCAGUGUACCCGCGGCAAGACGGAAAGACCCCGUGAACCUUUACUAUAGCUUGACACUGAAUAUUGAGCCUUGAUGUGUAGGAUAGGUGGGAGGCAUCGAAGCGUGGACGCCAGUCUGCGUGGAGCCAACCUUGAAAUACCACCCUUUAAUGUUUGAUGUUCUAACUCGGCCCCAUAAUCUGGGGUGAGGACAGUGUCUGGUGGGUAGUUUGACUGGGGCGGUCUCCUCCCAAAGAGUAACGGAGGAGCACGAAGGUUAGCUAAUCACGGUCGGACAUCGUGAGGUUAGUGCAAAGGCAUAAGCUAGCUUGACUGCGAGAGUGACGACUCGAGCAGGUACGAAAGUAGGUCUUAGUGAUCCGGUGGUUCUGAAUGGAAGGGCCAUCGCUCAACGGAUAAAAGGUACUCCGGGGAUAACAGGCUGAUACCGCCCAAGAGUUCAUAUCGACGGCGGUGUUUGGCACCUCGAUGUCGGCUCAUCACAUCCUGGGGCUGAAGUAGGUCCCAAGGGUAUGGCUGUUCGCCAUUUAAAGUGGUACGCGAGCUGGGUUUAGAACGUCGUGAGACAGUUCGGUCCCUAUCUGCCGUGGGCGUUGGAAGAUUGAGAGGGGCUGCUCCUAGUACGAGAGGACCGGAGUGGACGCAUCACUGGUGUUCGGGUUGUCAUGCCAAUGGCAUUGCCCGGUAGCUAAAUGCGGAAAAGAUAAGCGCUGAAAGCAUCUAAGCGCGAAACUUGCCUCGAGAUGAGUCUUCCCUGGGGCUUUAAGCCCCCUGAAGGAACGUUAAAGACUAUGACGUUGAUAGGCUGGGUGUGUAAGUGCAGCGAUGCAUUGAGCUAACCAGUACUAAUGAUCCGUGAGGCUUAACCUU